CCCUGCCUGUGAUGAUACAAGUUAUCCCUGUCUGAACUUAAAGUGUGGAGUCAUGGUAACCUGAGGCUGCC
ensembl:snoRNA